rnacentral:rRNA from 1 species
AUGGCGCGCCCGAACCUCACGACGGAGAAGGCAGAGGAGCUCGCCCACAUUGGCAUCCCCGUCGAGCCGGGCGUGCGGAUGUCGGGGCGAUGGCGACUCCGUUUGUCACGGGUUCUGGUGGCGCCGGUGUCCACCGUCGGCACCCAUGGCUUUGUGCGCGCCAUUGUGAUUCGGAUUGGGGAUGAACACCUCAGCAAAUCAGGAUUGGACACGAAAUUGAAGAUAAAUUUGCUAGAGACACCCAAUAAAUAA